CUACCUUGCAACCAAUCUUCUAAUCAAUUAUCAAGUUCCGAAACCGGAGCAAUAUGCUACAAGGGUGUCUGUAUCUUAAAAUCCAAUUUACAAGAAAAGGCCGGGGAGUGGAGUUCCUGGUCGUCUUGGUCAGCGUGUCAAGGCGAUAACAUAAUAGGCUAUGCUACAAGGGAUAGAAAAUGCGAUAAUCCAAAGCAGGAAUUCGGUGGACUUUACUGUCAAGGAAAUAAAAUCGAUAAAAAAGUG